rnacentral:lncRNA from 1 species
AAAAAUCAGAAAAAAAUACGGAGCGUUGGAUCUGGUCUCAUUAAUUGACGUGGCAGAUCCAACAAUCCUUAGGUUGGGGCGCACGAUGAAAUUUAGCAAAAAGGAAACACGUGAUUUAAUUAAAAUUGGACCAAUCAAAACAAUUCAAUUGUCCAACGUGUCUAGCCAAACUCAGACGAACUGAAACAUUAUGGUCAUCUUCCCCGAUGAUCCCUCACCGGAG